CCAAGUGCAGACUUGGAUCAAACAGGAGAGGUGGGAGGUUGUGUCUCGGCUUACCUGGAUUAAUCGCUUGCAGAGGACAAAGCCCUAACAGUGCUGGAGGAAAAAAAAAGGUUUGGUCUCUGUGAGCUGUCAGUCACCUCUGGAGUCAGCAGUGAUACAAGAGCAUGCAACUAAAAAAAAAGUGAAGUCAGCAUGAAGGCUGAAGUACUGUUUUCUUAAGGUGCUUUUGGAACUGGCAAAAGGUGGAACUUUCUUAAAGUUGUUAAACUUCUUCAGAGUUGUUGAAAACUCCCUAAUCUUCAGAAUGGAAUGGUGCCUGCCAUAUAGUGCAAUCAUGGGAGACAGUGCUCAUUUCUCAAGAAAAAUGCUUUUUAAUGUGUACUUUAACUUUGCAAUAAGUUCCUUUUCAAGGGGACUCUGGAGCUGCUGUUUGGGUUCUCCUCGAAUGGACCUCAGUUACUGGAGAUCUUCCUGGUGUCUGGCAUCUCUGGCAGAAGCAGUGCAGUGUAAUUAA
rnacentral:lncRNA from 1 species